CGGCGGACGGGUGAGUAACACGUGGAUAACCUACCUAUAAGACUGGGAUAACUUCGGGAAACCGGAGCUAAUACCGGAUAAUAUAUUGAACCGCAUGGUUCAAUAGUGAAAGACGGUUUUGCUGUCACUUAUAGAUGGAUCCGCGCCGCAUUAGCUAGUUGGUAAGGUAACGGCUUACCAAGGCAACGAUGCGUAGCCGACCUGAGAGGGUGGAUCGGCCACACUGGAAAUGAGACACGGUCCAGACUCCUACGGGAGGCAGCAGCC
rnacentral:rRNA from 1 species